rnacentral:rRNA from 1 species
AGGGAAUAUUGCAAAAUGGGCGAAAGCCCGAUGCAGCAACGCCGCGUGGGCGAUGAAGGCCUUCGGGUCGCAAAGCCCUUUUUGAGGGGAUGAGGAAGGACGGUACCCUCAGAAUAAGCCUCGGCUAACUACGUGCCAGCAGCCGCGGUAAAACGUAGGAGGCGAGCGUUAUCCGGAUUUACUGGGCGUAAAGCGCGUGCAGGCGGAUUGGAGAGUUGGAUGUGAAAGCUCCCGGCUUAACUGGGAGAGGUCGUUCAAUACUUCCAGUCUUGAGUGCAGUAGAGGGAAGUGGAAUUCCGGGUGUAGUGGUGAAAUGCGUAGAUAUCCGGAGGAACACCAGUGGCGAAAGCGGCUUCCUGGACUGUAACUGACGCUCAGACGCGAAAGCUAGGGUAGCAAACG